rnacentral:rRNA from 2 species
CAGCCGCCGCGGUAACACCAGCCCCCCGAGUGGUGGGGAUGAUUAUUUGGCCUAAAGCGUCCGUAGCCGGCUCUGUAAAUCUCUCGUUAAAUCCAACGUCCUAAGCGUUGGACUGCGAGGGAGACUGCAGAACUAGAGGGUGGGAGAGGUCAGCGGUAUUCCUGGGGUAGGGGCGAAAUCCAUUGAUCCCAGGAGGACCACCAGUGGCGAAGGCUGCCGACUAGAAUACGCCUGACGGUGAGGGACGAAAGCUGGGGUAGCGAAUCGGAUUAGAUACCCGAGUAGUCCCAGCCGUAAACGAUGCAGGCUAGGUGUUGGGUUGGCCAUGUGCCAGCUCAGUGCCACAGGGAAGCCAUUAAGCCUGCCGCCUGGGGAGUACGGCCGCAAGGCUGAAACUUAAAGGAAUUGGCGGGGGAGCAC